GAUGAAGAACGUAGCGAAAUGCGAUAAGUAGUGUGAAUUGCAGAAUUCAGUGAAUCAUCGAAUCUUUGAACGCACAUUGCGCCCCUUGGUAUUCCAUGGGGCAUGCCUGUUCGAGCGUCAUUUGUACCUUCAAGCUCUGCUUGGUGUUGGGUGUUUGUCUCGCCUCUGCGUGUAGACUCGCCUUAAAACAAUUGGCAGCCGGCGUAUUGAUUUCGGAGCGCAGUACAUCUCGCGCUUUGCACUCAUAACGACGAUGUCCAAAAGUACAUUUUUACACUCUUGACCUCGGAUCAGGUAGGGAUACCCGCUGAACUUAAGCAUAUCAAUAAGCGGAGGA
rnacentral:misc_RNA from 1 species